rnacentral:rRNA from 1 species
UCAGGUGGCCGCAGAGAAUAGGCCCAAGCGACUGUUUACCAAAAACAUAGGUUUCUGCUAAGUCGCAAGACGAUGUAUAGGAGCUGACGCCUGCCCGGUGCUGGAAGGUUAAGGGGAUCUGUUAGAGCAAUCGAAGCAGUGAACUUAAGCCCCAGUAAACGGCGGCCGUAACUAUAACGGUCCUAAGGUAGCGAAAUUCCUUGUCGGGUAAGUUCCGACCCGCACGAAAGGCGUAACGAUUUGGGCACUGUCUCAACAACAGACUCGGUGAAAUUGUAAUUCCGGUGAAGAUGCCGGAUACCUGCGACAGGACGGAAAGACCCCAUGGAGCUUUACUGUAGCUUGACAUUGGGUCUUGGUACUACAUGUACAGGAUAGGUGGGAGGCUUUGAAACCAGGACGCCAGUUUUGGCGGAGCCAUCCUUGGGAUACCACCCUUGUAGUACUGGGACUCUAACCAUAGGCCAUGAAUCUGGUCUUGGGACACUGUCAGGUGGGCAG